UAUAAGUAUAAACGAUUUUAUCGUGAAACCGCGAACGGCUCAUUAUAACAGCUAUAAUUUACUUGAUCUUGACUUCCUACUUGGAUAACUGUGGUAAUUCUAGAGCUAAUACAUGCACCAAAGCUCCGACCUUACGGGAAGAGCGCAUUUAUUCGAACAAAACCAAGCGGCUUCGGCCGUCCGCAGUUGACUCAGAAUAACUAAGCUGAUCGCAUGGUCUUGAACCGGCGACGUGUCUUUCAAGUAUCUGCCUUAUCAACUUUCGAUGGUAGUGUAUCUGACUACCAUGGUGGUGACGGGUAACGGAGGAUAAGGGUUCGACUCCGGAGAAGGGGCCUGAGAAAUGGCCACUACGUCUAAGGAUGGCAGCAGGCGCGCAAAUUACCCACUCUCGGAAUGAGGA
rnacentral:rRNA from 1 species